UCGUGUGUACCCGCUUCCCAAUGCCCCGUUCCCUGUUCCCAGUUCCCAGUUCCCAGCUCCCAGUUGCCAGUUGCCAGUUCUAUAUAUGCGAGUAAUACGCAAUUGAGCGUUCUGUUCGUGACGCCAAAGGCGAAGCCAUUGCCUCCUCCAUCCAUCCAUCCGCCCGUCCGCACUAAUAACCGUAAAAAACAAACUGCUAAGCAAGGUCAAUGCACCAAAUGUGCUAUGAGUGCCAUGAGUGUCGUGAGUGCGAGUGUGAGUGUGUGGUGAACUCACUUGCUAAAAUUUUAACUUUUCAGUUAGGCAGAUAGUGCGUUCUUGAUUUCGACGCGAAGGUGGCCGGUAAACAAGAUGACGAAUAGAUGGGUAGAUCGCCAUAGAGAACUGCUGUUCCGACGAAAUCAUAUCAGCCAGCAUACAGACGUACUGCUCACGAAAUAUAGACGUACUAUCCGCCCGACCAGCAUAUCCACCAGAUACGUAUACAUACAUAUCUACAGGCUACAGCACAUCCAGCCAUACAUACAUAUAUGCAAGCUCGACAAAUACUGUGAGUCAUCGGGGAAGCGAAACGCGAGUACAACCGCCCCGUAAAUGAAAUGCACGGGGACAAAAACUGCACUGCCACGCGCUCCACGAAUGAAUCCGUGUAUCUAUGUAUCUAUAUAUCCAUGGAUCUAUGCAUCUAUGUAUCCAUCCAUGGUCGCGACUCAUCAGCACUUGAUGGGCCAGCGCACCCGAAGAUACCAUCCAUCAAUCUUGGCUAUUUCAUCAUAAUAAGUCAGCAGUGGGUUUGAGCUACAAUUCGAUUGCUAAUCUGCUAUAAUUGUUGUGCCUGCUGGUAUUUGUAAACAAAGAGAAUAAUCGCAAGGAACUUGAAUCUAAUCUGCCCGAAUCUUAUCAGUCAAACUUUUGUUGACCUUUCCGGUCGGCGAAGUAUUUGUUUGUGCUCUAUAAGUAGGUCUCCCUGCCGAAUAUCAAAUGCGUUCAACCCGCCGAGACAGCUGGCGCCUCGGCUGAUAGAGUGGAUCUUCCUAUCGGACGAACGGAUGACCAAAUCAUGGCUACACCAACAACACAUUCCUCCCCUGCCUGGACAGAAAUAUGCACCUUGGGGAAAAUGGUGUCGAAGGCCGAAAUAUAAUAAGGGUUAAACAGUCCUACCUCCUACUCGA
rnacentral:sRNA from 1 species